GACGAACGCUGGCGGCAUGCCUAACACAUGCAAGUCGAACGAAACCUUCGGGUCUCGUGGCGCACGGGUGCGUAACGCGUGGGCACCUGCCCUUAGGUUCGGAAUCACUCCCCGAAAGGGGUGCUACUACCGGAUACUGUCUUCGGACCAAAGAUUUAUCGCCUUUGGAUGGGCCCGCGUUGGAUUAGCUUGUUGGUAGGGUAAAAGCCUACCAAGGCGACGAUCCAUAGCUGGUCUGAGAGGAUGAUCAGCCACACUGGGACUGAGACACGGCCCAGACUCCUACGGGAGGCAGCAGUGGGGAAUAUUGGACAAUGGGCGAAAGCCUGAUCCAGCAAUGCCGCGUGAGUGAUGAAGGCCUUAGGGUUGUAAAGCUCUUUUACCCGGGAUGAUAAUGACAGUACCGGGAGAAUAAGCACCGGCUAACUCCGUG
rnacentral:rRNA from 1 species